rnacentral:rRNA from 1 species
AUGCCCCUUAUCGACCAUCUAGUGCACUGCGAGCAAACAGGUUUCAUCCGGGGCCGUGGCAUCGCGGAAAAUUUCCUCCAUGCGACGGACAUUGUGCAGACUUGUUUUAAACGAUAUCUCCCAGCAAUUGUCAUCAAGCUUGACUUUCAUAAAGCUUUUGACUCGGUAUCUUGGACGGCACUAGAUGCUAUAUUACGGGCAAAAGGGUUCCCGCCGGCUUGGUGCCGAUGGGUGGACCACCUAAACAACUCUGCUUCCUCCGCAGUUCUCCUAAAUGGGAAGUCGGGCCCUUGGUUUCAGUGCCGUCAGGGCCUGCGGCAAGGUGACCCCUACUCCCCCUACCUUUUCAUCCUCGUCGCCGAUGUCCUUAAACGGCUUAUCACCCAGGCUUCCACCCAUGGCAUUCUUUCCCACCCAAUCGCGUCUGACAUCCCUUGCAUUGUUCUCCAAUAUGCCGACGAUACUCUCAUCGUCCUGCGCCGGACAUAA